rnacentral:rRNA from 1 species
UGAGGAACAUGACUUUCGGCGGGGGAUAGCCGGCCCAACGGCCGGGUAAUACCGCGUACGACCUUUUGGGGACAUCCCCGAUUGGUGAAAGCAGCAAUGCGCCGAAAGAGUGCCUCGCGGCCUAUCAGCUAGUUGGUGGGGUGAUGGCCUACCAAGGCGACGACGGGUAGCCGGCCUGAGAGGGUGACCGGCCACACUGGGACUGAGAUACGGCCCAGACUCCUACGGGAGGCAG